rnacentral:rRNA from 1 species
CCUGAACGCUGGCGGCGUGGCUAAGACAUGCAAGUCGAACGGGUGCAGCAAUGCACCAGUGGCGCACGGGUGAGUAAUGUAUCGCUAACGUGCCCUGGAGCCUGGGAUAGCUGUCCGAAAGGGCAGGUAAUACCGGAUGAGACCACGGAGAGGCAUCUCUCUGUGCUCAAAGCCGCAAGGCACUCUGGGAGCGGGCGAUAUCGUAUCAGCUAGUUGGCGGGGUAACGGCCACCAAGGCUGCGACGCGUAGCUGGUCUGAGAGGACGGCCAGCCACAUCGGGACUGAGACACUGCCCGGACUCCUACGGGGGGCUGCAGUAACGAAUCUUCCGCAAUGCACGAAAGUGUGACGGAGCGACGCCGCGUGGAGGACGAAGUCCU